CUGGUUUCUGCCCCCGAGAAAUUGCAGAAUGUAGCUUAGUUAGUCAUGUCUGUUCUGUUUUCUUCUCAUGCAGUUCCUAACUCUUGUCUUCUUUCGUAAUCUAAAAAAACCUGCUGCCCAGCUCCCAUGUCCUCUGCUUCUCUUGUCUUGUGUUGCUCCACCUGGCACAGCUGCAUGUCCAUGUUCCCCCCUCAGCGCAUCGCCUUGUUGCUGCCUCUGCGUGUGCAUGUGUUUGGGAUGGACGCACAAAAAGCCCUCCUCGUGGUCCUUCCAGCAAGCUGGGCUUCCCUUUACUGCACAGUGGGCAAGAUUCCUGCCUUGUUUCCUGAUGAUACGGCUUCUCCAGAGUUUGGGGGGCCGGGAACUCUUAACUUGGGGGUACUGGGUUCUAUCCAGAGAGGUUGACAGCAGAAGGGUUUGCAACAGCACUUGUCUUGCAGACACAGUGAAGUGCUCAGUGUAAAUCUGAGCCAACAGUAGAUGGGGUCUCUGGGCAGCAGCAUGGGCCCCACAAGGCUCUUAGGCGUCAGUGAGUGCUUUUGUGUGGAGUUAAUGUAUGUGGUUUUUUUAACUUGAGAAUAGUAGUUCCCAAACUUACUGCACAUUAGAAACACCUGGAAUCCUUCAAAUAUUCUGAAGCCCUGGCCAAUACCCCAGACGAGCUAAAUCCCAGACUGAGUGGCCCCAACCGUCAGUUAUUUGAAGGUCUCGGGGCAUUUCCAGCUUCUGGUCCAGGCUGAGAGCCUGUCCUCCAGAACCCUUGUGAUCCAGGUGAAGAUCAUAACUGGCCCCCAUUCUAGACAAUGGAGAUUUUUGUUUGGGAAGCUAAGCAUCGUUUUUGGUGAUGGGAAUCACGGAUAAGGUUAUUUAGCGCUUUAGCCCUGUCCUGCCCAGUUAUUAGUCAUUGGCAGAAUGUUGUUGGUCUGUGUCCUAAAUGUGUUUCCUUUUGUGUUCCUAAGUAAACAGAAUCAAAGACCAGUACAAGGUGUCCGUGCGCAUCCCUCCUGACAGUGAGAAGAGCAAUUUGAUCCGCAUCGAGGGGGACCCACAGGGCGUGCAGCAGGCCAAGCGAGAGCUGCUGGAGCUUGCAUCUCGCAUGGAAAAUGAGCGUACCAAGGAUCUAAUCAUUGAGCAAAGAUUUCAUCGCACAAUCAUUGGGCAGAAGGGUGAACGGAUCCGUGAAAUUCGUGACAAAUUCCCAGAGGUCAUCAUCAACUUUCCAGACCCAGCACAAAAAAGUGACAUUGUCCAGCUCAGAGGACCUAAGAAUGAGGUGGAAAAAUGCACAAAAUACAUGCAGAAGAUGGUGGCAGAUCUGGUGGAAAAUAGCUAUUCAAUUUCUGUUCCGAUCUUCAAACAGUUUCACAAGAAUAUCAUUGGGAAAGGAGGCGCAAACAUUAAAAAGAUUCGUGAAGAAAGCAACACCAAAAUCGACCUUCCAGCAGAGAAUAGCAAUUCAGAGACCAUUAUCAUCACAGGCAAGCGAGCCAACUGCGAAGCUGCCCGGAGCAGGAUUCUGUCUAUUCAGAAAGACCUGGCCAACAUAGCCGAGGUAGAGGUCUCCAUCCCUGCCAAGCUGCACAACUCCCUCAUUGGCACCAAGGGCCGUCUGAUCCGCUCCAUCAUGGAGGAGUGCGGCGGGGUCCACAUUCACUUUCCCGUGGAAGGUUCAGGAAGCGACACCGUUGUUAUCAGGGGCCCUUCUUCGGAUGUGGAGAAGGCCAAGAAGCAGCUCCUGCAUCUGGCGGAGGAGAAGCAAACCAAGAGUUUCACUGUUGACAUCCGCGCCAAGCCAGAAUACCACAAAUUCCUCAUCGGCAAGGGGGGCGGCAAAAUCCGCAAGGUGCGCGACAGCACUGGAGCACGUGUCAUCUUCCCUGCGGCUGAGGACAAGGACCAGGACCUGAUCACCAUCAUCGGAAAGGAGGACGCCGUCCGAGAGGCACAGAAGGAGCUGGAGGCCUUGAUCCAAAACCUGGUAGGGAGCGGGCCUCGGCGGCCGACUCUGCCGGGGCCGUGAUGGGGUGGCUUAUCUUCCGUCUCUUCUUAACGCUGCAGGAUAAUGUGGUGGAAGACUCCAUGCUGGUGGACCCCAAGCACCACCGCCACUUCGUCAUCCGCAGAGGCCAGGUCUUGCGGGAGAUUGCUGAAGAGUAUGGCGGGGUGAUGGUCAGCUUCCCACGCUCUGGCACACAGAGCGACAAAGUCACCCUCAAGGGCGCCAAGGACUGUGUGGAGGCAGCCAAGAAACGCAUUCAGGAGAUCAUUGAGGACCUGGAAGCUCAGGUGACAUUAGAAUGUGCUAUACCCCAGAAAUUCCAUCGAUCUGUCAUGGGCCCCAAAGGUUCCAGAAUCCAGCAGAUUACUCGGGAUUUCAGUGUUCAAAUUAAAUUCCCAGACAGAGAGGAGAACGCAGUUCACAGUACAGAGCCAGUUGUCCAGGAGAAUGGGGACGAAGCUGGGGAGGGGAGAGAGGCUAAAGAUUCUGACCCCGGCUCUCCAAGGAGGUGUGACAUCAUCAUCAUCUCUGGCCGGAAAGAAAAGUGUGAGGCUGCCAAGGAAGCUCUGGAGGCAUUGGUUCCUGUCACUAUUGAAGUAGAGGUGCCCUUUGACCUUCACCGUUACGUUAUUGGGCAGAAAGGAAGUGGGAUCCGCAAGAUGAUGGAUGAGUUUGAGGUAGACCCCUUUCCCGGGAGGCCAUGUCACAGGAGUGGCCUGUCGCAUCCUCUCCCGAGUGCCAGUGUCCUUUCUCAACUUCCUGUUGACUCUGCCUCCUCCUGCUCGGACUGGGCACUGACUUCCCUUCACGGCGGGUGGCCUUCCCUCUCACCACUUCUGGGUCCCAGGGCCAGUGGACUCUUUCCUGUUCUCUGGGGUCCUGAACGUCAAGUCAGCCCCCUCUUCACGUAGGUGAACAUACAUGUCCCGGCACCUGAGCUGCAGUCUGACAUCAUCGCCAUCACGGGCCUCGCUGCAAAUUUGGACCGGGCCAAGGCUGGACUGCUGGAGCGUGUGAAGGAGCUACAGGCCGAGCAGGAGGACCGGGCUUUAAGGAGUUUUAAGCUGAGUGUCACUGUAGACCCCAAAUACCAUCCCAAGAUUAUCGGGAGAAAGGGGGCAGUAAUUACCCAAAUCCGGUUGGAGCAUGACGUAAACAUCCAGUUUCCUGAUAAGGACGAUGGGAGCCAGCCCCAGGACCAAAUUACCAUCACAGGGUACGAAAAGAACACAGAAGCUGCCAGGGACGCUAUACUGAGAAUUGUGGGUGAACUUGAGCAGAUGGUUUCUGAGGACGUCCCACUGGACCACCGUGUUCACGCCCGCAUCAUUGGUGCCCGCGGCAAAGCCAUUCGCAAAAUCAUGGACGAAUUCAAGGUGGACAUUCGCUUCCCACAGAGCGGAGCCCCAGACCCCAACUGCGUCACUGUGACGGGGCUCCCAGAGAAUGUGGAGGAAGCCAUCGACCACAUCCUCAACCUGGAGGAGGAAUACGUGAGUCUCUGUGGGCCUUGGAGCCCUGAGGCGCCCUGGCACGUCCACCGGCCUGAGGCCCAGCCAGGAGCUUCAGGGGACAAGGUGGCACUUGUGUUUCCAGAGGCAGGCGAGGUGCAGGGGUGAGCAGGCGGGCGGGAUGCGGGGGGUGCUGGGCAGACUGACCCUGUCUUCCUGUCCUCUGCCUGCAGCUAGCUGACGUGGUGGACAGUGAGGCGCUGCAGGUAUACAUGAAACCCCCAGCACACGAAGAGGCCAAGGCACCUUCCAGAGGCUUUGUGGUGCGGGACGCACCCUGGACCGCCAGCAGCAGUGAGAAGGUCAGAUGCGGGCUUCUGCCCUCCUGGGUCCCAGGGAGGGUGGGCGGGCAGGCGGGCUUGGUGUCCCGAGGGUGGCAACUGCGUCGGAAGCUGCUUGCGAGUUGGGGAGCAUCCCCUCCUGAAGCCGUGUCCUCUCUCUGCACAGGCUCCUGACAUGAGCAGCUCUGAGGAAUUUCCCAGCUUUGGGGCUCAGGUGGCUCCCAAGACCCUCCCUUGGGGCCCCAAACGAUAAUGAUCAAAAAGAACAGAACCCUCUCCAGCCUGCUGACCCGAACCCAACCACACAAUGGUUUGUCUCAAUCUGACCCAGCGGCUGGACCCUCCGUAAAUUGUUGACGCUCUUCCCCCUUCCCGAGGUCCCACAGGGAGCCUAGCUCCUGGCUCUGUGUGCGGCCGCUCCUCCAGGCCUGGCCGUGCCCGCUCAGGACCUGCUCCACUGUUUAACACUAAACCAAGGUCAUGAGCAUUCGUGCUAAGAUAACAGACUCCAGCUCCUGGUCCACCCGGCAUGUCAGUCAGCACUCUGGCCUUCAUCACGAGAGCUCCGCAGCCGUGGCUAGGAUUCCACUUCCUGUGUCAUGACCUCAGGAAAUAAACGUCCUUGACUUU
rnacentral:sRNA from 1 species